AACGAACGCUGGCGGCAGGCCUAACACAUGCAAGUCGAGCGAAGCCUUCGGGCUUAGCGGCGGACGGGUGAGUAACGCGUGGAACGUGCCCUUUGGUUCGGAAUAGCCCUAGGAAACUGGGAGUAAUACCGGAUGUGGUCGAGAGACGAAAGAUUUACCGCCAAAGGAUCGGCCCGCGUUGGAUUAGGUAGUUGGUGGGGUAAUGGCCUACCAAGCCGACGAUCCAUAGCUGGUUUGGGAGGAUGAUCAGCCACACUGGGACUGAGACACGGCCCAGACUCCUACGGGAGGCAGCAGUGGGGAAUCUUAGACAAUGGGGGAAACCCUGAUCUAGCCAUGCCGCGUGAGCGAUGAAGGCCUUAGGGUUGUAAAGCUCUUUCGUGGGGGAAGAUAAUGACUGUACCCCAAGAAGAAGCCCCGGCUAACUCCGUGCCAGCCGCCGCCGUAAGAC
rnacentral:rRNA from 1 species